rnacentral:rRNA from 1 species
UAUGAACGCUGGCGGCGUGCCUAAUACAUGCAAGUCGAGCGGUAAGGCCCUUCGGGGUACACGAGCGGCGGACGGCAGAGUAACACGUAGGAACGUACCCCAAAGUGAGGGAUAGCCCACCGAAAGGUGGAUUAAUACCGCAUGUGGUCUUCGGAUUAAAGCAGCAAUGCGCUUUGGGAACGGCCUGCGUAAGAUUAGCUAGUUGGUGAGGUAACGGCUCACCAAGGCGACGAUCUUUAGCUGGUCUGAGAGGAUGAUCAGCCUGACUGGGACUGAGACACGGCCCAGACUCCUACGGGAGGCAGCAGUAGGGAAUUUUCCACAAUGGGCGAAAGCCUGAUGGAGCAACGCCGCGUGCAGGAUGAAGGCCUUCGGGUUGUAAACUGCUUUUGUCUGAGAAGAAUAUGACGGUAACAGACGAAUAAGGGUCUGCUAACUACGUGCCAGCAGCAGCCGCGG